CACUCCUCCAAGAAUGCAACAAAUGAUGAGAAGAAGGAUAUGUGCAGAAAGGAAACCUCAAUAUCAUCCAACAAAAAACAACAACGGAGGACAAAGAUACAGAAGUCUAGCAAAAGAUAUGAAAAAGAUGUGAGACCGGUUGCUUCUAGAACAGUUGUUAAAACUGAAGCUCCUGAUGAUGAGAAGAUAAAAGGAGAGACAAAACAAAAGAGAUGUAAGCAGGAUUUUAAAAGAAAGGCUUCGCGAAAUAAAAAAAGGAGGUAGCAAACAUUCAAGCUACAAGUUCAGAUACAAUUACCAUAGAAGAUGAUUCUAAUAAUUACCACAGACAAAACAAGACAGAUGUCAGAAGGCCUACCAACAAGAAACUCAGAAGAGUUAU